ACGGAGGGUGCAAGCGUUAUCCGGAAUCAUUGGGUUUAAAGGGUCCGCAGGCGGAUUUAUAAGUCAGUGGUGAAAGCCUACAGCUUAACUGUAGAACUGCCAUUGAUACUGUAAGUCUUGAAUUCGGUCGAAGUGGGCGGAAUGUGUAGUGUAGCGGUGAAAUGCAUAGAUAUUACACAGAACACCGAUAGCGAAGGCAGCUCACUAGGCCUGGAUUGACGCUCAGGGACGAAAGCGUGGGGAUCAAACAGGAUUAGAUACCCUGGUAGUCCACGCUGUAAACGAUGAUUACUCGUUUUCGGCGAUAUACAGUCGGAGACUAAGCGAAAGUGAUAAGUAAUCCACCUGGGGAGUACGAUCGCAAGGUUG
rnacentral:rRNA from 1 species